AUUGAACGCUGUCGGCAUGCUUUACACAUGCAAGUCGGACUAGUUGCGAACGGGUGAGUACUAUAUUGGAAAGUACCGAGUAAGGGGGUAUAAACAAUCGAAAGAUUGGCUAAUACCGAAUAGUAUUCGAGCGGCCCAUAUCUGAUUAGCUCGUUGGUGGGGUAAAUGCCUACCAAGGCCACGAGAAGUAGCGGGUCUGAGAGGAUGAUACGCUACACUGUGAAGGCGACACGUCCCGGACUCCUAAGUGGGGCAUCAGUGGGGAAUUUUGGACAAUGGGCGGAAGCCUGAUCCAGCCAUGCCGCGGGUCUGAAGAAGGCCUUCGGGUUGUAAAGGACUUUUGUUAGUGAAGCGGUACCUAAAGAAUAAGCACCGGCUAACUACGUGCCAGCAGCCGCGGUAAUAC
rnacentral:rRNA from 1 species